GUAGUUAGCCGGGGCUUCCUCCUUGGCUACCGUCACUUUCUUCGUUGCCAAGGACAGAGGUUUACAACCCGAAAGCCUUCUUCCCUCACGCGGCGUUGCUGGGUCAGGCUUGCGCCCAUUGCCCAAUAUUCCCCACUGCUGCCUCCCGCAGGAGUCUGGACCGUAUCUCAGUUCCAGUGUGGCCGAUCAGCCUCUCAGCUCGGCUACCCAUCGUCGACUUGGUGGGCCGUUACCCCGCCAACUAUCUAAUGGGACGCGAACCCCUCUUAUACCGGAUUGCUCCUUUGACCUCAUCCCGAUGUCGGGUCGUGGUCUUAUGCGGUAUUAGCAACCGUUUCCGGUUGUUAUCCCCCUGUACUAAGGCAGGUUGUUCACGCGUUACUCACCCGUUCGCCACUAAGUUAUCAACCGAAAUCAAUAACUCCGUUCGACUUGCAUGUGUUAGGCACGCCGCCAGCGUUCGUCCUGAGCCAUGAUCAAACUCUGA
rnacentral:rRNA from 1 species